UGGGGAAUCUUAGACACUGGGGGAAACCCUGAUCUAGCCAUGCCGCGUGAGUGAUGAAGGCCCUAGGGUCGUAAAGCUCUUUCGCCAGGGAUGAUAAUGACAGUACCUGGUAAAGAAACCCCGGCUAACUCCGUGCCAGCAGCCGCGGUAAUACGGAGGGGGUUAGCGUUGUUCGGAAUUACUGGGCGUAAAGCGCACGUAGGCGGACUGUUUAGUCAGAGGUGGAAUCCCGGGGCUCAACCCCGGAACUGCCUUUGAUACUGGCAGUCUUCAGUUCGAGAGAGGUGAGUGGAAUUCCGAGUGUAGAGGUGAAAUUCGUAGAGAUUCGGAGGAACACCAGUGGCGAAGGCGGCUCACUGGCUGGAUACUGACGCUGAGGUGCGAAAGUGUGGGGAGCAAACAGGAUUAGAUACCCCUGUAGUCC
rnacentral:rRNA from 1 species